GAGUCGUGUUUACUGUCGAGAUGACAUGGCGUAGAGGUGCACAGAGAAGCAUACUCUUGAGGCAGUUGACGAGCAGCGGCAAGGCUCGUGCAUGAAGAUCUAGAGCUCUGUCGAUGUGGCUAUCAUGGAAUGUUUGGGCCUUUAGCUGUGUUUAUGUAACGUUUGGAGGGAGCAUUAUAGUCGUCCAAGGAUUGGCUGAGCUUGAUGGUAGGGGCGGGACUAAUGUUGAUUGCUUUUCCAAUUGUCAAGUCAGAGCGCCGGGGUUUGCUCUGUUUUGGCACGAUGACACAGUUAAGAUGAACGUAAUCACUUCACUUAUUAACUUGAUUAUAGCUGAUAACUCGUGUUAUUGUCGUAAGCUGUUAUCAUUAUGUAAUUUUAAGCGACCUAACUUGGACAAGUUUUUUCCCCCUUUUAAAAUAAUAUUUUCCUAAUAGUAUUUAACGAACACUGACCAGAUAGUAAUAUAGACUGUUAUGAUAUCGUUGUAUUUACUUCUCUUUGAACAUUGCAGCAUACUUGUAUUGCUUUUAAGGAUGGAUUUACAUCUUGGAUGAAGAUGCCUGCCCUGUCUGUAACUGAAUAUAGGGUUUAAAAUAUUAUUUUUUUGCCUGUGUUAAUUUAAUAGCAAUUAUGUUUUAAAUACAGUAUUCAUUAAUAUAUAGUGAUAAUGAUGCACUGAAAACCUGUAUGAUCAUUUUUAAUUGUUUACUUGCAUGUUUUGCUCUAUCUUGCCAUUCUUUUGUUCCUGUCUGGUGUGCAUCGUGAAGGUAUGCAGGAGAGGAUUCAUCUCUAAGAGGAGAGCUUUACAGAGACCUAAAAAGGAAUUUGUUUUGCACAUGCAAGUUAGCCCCAGCAAAAAACAAAUAAAAAUAAACAAAGCCUACAAAAAAAGAGAAAAAAAGCACAAUUCACAGAUUUCCAAUGUAUGUACAUUAACAUUUUUUGAUCUAACAAUGGUUGUAAAAUAAAUUGUUCCAAGUGUUAUACAAGAUGCACAAAGCAGGUGGUGUAUUAGGGCUAGUCUGAACAUCAGGGCACUCGUCACAGGAAAGGGGUUUUCUUUCUGGAAAUGUUAUUUUGGUCAGGGACCCUGUGUAAGCAGAAAUGAUCAACAGCCAAACGGUCAUUUUCUGUAUGGCAGUAUCUUUCAGUGUUUUCGGAUAAGAAUGGGAUACAAUACCAAUUUGUAUUUCUGGAGUAAAAAUUUUUUACAUGUGAGUUUUUAAUUUUGUACAAGGUUAUAAGACUUGUUUGGUUGAGCAUCCAAACAAGCUGCAUUUUGUGGUCCUGGUUGACAAAAGCUGUUCAGACUGUCUGCGGUUAGAAAUGUUUUGCGUUUGCACGGAUCCAUAUUGAGGACGAGUAGUUAAGCAGGCAAGGUCGACAGCAUUGCCUUAUUUUAGAGCAUUCAGCAUAAAAAAUAAACAGAAAAAGGCGGGAUUAACUAUUACUGUGGUCUUCAUUCUUCUUUCUGUCAAUUAAGUUUCUGGUUCAAAAGCGCAUUUCAGUGUGAGCAGUAUCGUGCAGCUGCAGUAGGAAAACUCUUCUGAGAAGUCAUACUCUACUGUUUAGACAAUAUUUUUAGUUGUUGGUCCCCCUUCUACAUCCCUCUAUGUCCCUCUUAAUGUGUUCAAGAACCUGCUGAUCUCAUCUGUUUAAAAUAAAUAACGUGGCUUUCGCAAGCCAAGCUUACUGUUCCAAAGCUUAUCCUGACAUUGAAUUACAGUCAGCUUUUGGUUCCCUGUAUUACUCUGAGCAUCUUCAUCUAUAAACCUGUAUGAAUAAUAAGUUAUGAAGACCAAAAAUGGAUCCAGCUUUGCCUAAAAUGUUUCGCUAAUGCUGCUUCUGUCAGCCUGUUGCCUAGCCAUAUCCCGCUAGCACACAGGGUUAGCCUUCAAAGGACCCAAAUAAUAAUGUAGCACCCUUUCUGUGCAAUACAUCUGCCCGCCAUAUUGUCUGUCUGCACUUUAGGGUAGUUAAUGUUCGCAGAAUAUACAUUUCUGCCAAGUGAAACAAGGGGAAUGGGCUGAGGAGAACA